rnacentral:rRNA from 1 species
UACAGAGGGUGCUAGCGUUAAUCGGAUUUACUGGGCGUAAAGGGCGCGUAGGCGGUAAGAUAUGUGUGGUGUGAAAGCCCUGGGCUCAACCUAGGAAGUGCACCGCAAACUGUCUUGCUGGAGUAUAUGAGAGGGUGGCGGAAUUUCCGGUGUAGCGGUGAAAUGCGUAGAGAUCGGAAGGAACGUCGAUGGCGAAGGCAGCCCCCUGGGUCAACACUGACGCUCAUGCACGAAAGCGUGGGGAGCAAACAGG